rnacentral:rRNA from 1 species
CUAAGUUUGACGGCGACCGGCGCACGGGUGAGUAACACGUAUCCAACCUGCCGAUGACUCGGGGAUAGCCUUUCGAAAGAAAGAUUAAUACCCGAUGGCAUAGUUCUUCCGCAUGGUAGAACUAUUAAAGAAUUUCGGUCAUCGAUGGGGAUGCGUUCCAUUAGGUUGUUGGCGGGGUAACGGCCCACCAAGCCUUCGAUGGAUAGGGGUUCUGAGAGGAAGGUCCCCCACAUUGGAACUGAGACACGGUCCAAACUCCUACGGGAGGCAGCAUG